GUUCUGGGGAAAAUAAAAAAUCAGAGGUAAUUGUGUGGUCAAAUACCGUGAAUACUGAUAUAGACUACAGUAUGACACUUUCACUUGUAUGCUGUUCUGCAAAUUUGUCAAGUCUUUGGAUUCAUUUUUCAUAAUUCUGUUUUCGACAAUUUUCCUAUACAUGUAUAUAUUUUGUAUAUUAAUGGUUAAAUGUAAUUAUUCUUGUUAUUCGUUAAAGUUUCCUAUUAAGGUUAAAAAAAGAACACCAUUUCC
rnacentral:lncRNA from 1 species